CCGAGUGAGGGUCCUCUGGGCCCGACCUCCCAACCCUAUGUUUAUUGUACCUUAUGUUGCUUCGGCGGACCCGCCUCACGGCCGCCGGAGGGUCUUAGGUGACCCUCUGGCCCGCGUCCGCCGACGGCCAACCAAUUAAAACUCUGAAUGAAUCGUGUCAUUAUGUCUAAGUCUGUGAUUAAAUUAAAGCA
rnacentral:misc_RNA from 2 species